GCGCAGCAGUCGAGAAAACUUCACACUGUGCGAAAGCACGAUGAGGGAAUCCCAAGUGCUUGCACGUAAGUGUAAGCUGUUUCUCUGUUUAAAACGCAGAGAGAGUAAGGGCUGGGUAAGACGGGUGCCAGCCGCCGCGGUAAUACCUGCAGCUCAAGUGGUGACCGUUAUUAUUGGGCCUAAAACGUCCGUAGCCGGUUUAAUAAAUGCCUGGGUAAAUCGUGUAGCUUAACUAUACGAAUUCCGGGUA
rnacentral:rRNA from 1 species